rnacentral:misc_RNA from 1 species
ACAUCCCCUUGCCAAACCUCGGCUCACUUCCGCUCUCGCCUCUCUCCUCGUCGGCUCUGUUGCGCAGUCUCGACCGCCCUGCCGUUCUUUCUCCCGUCCACCUCCGCGUUUCCCUUGUCAGCUGUCGGCGUUGUGGAUCCGCGAAAAUGGCGUGCAACAUCGGCAUGUUCCUCUACGCCAUCCUGCAGUUCAUCGCAUUCCUCUUGGUGCUGGUCGCUACGCCGCUCAGCAUGUUUUCGAUGGCAGUGAAGGGACUGCCAAACGCAGGUUGCUACACCCUAUGGGGGUUUAAGUCAACCUGCAACAGGGGAAUGGAGGUCACCAAGUCGGACGAGCUCUGGGCAAACUGCAUGGGCCGCCGCAACCGCUUCCGUGCAGCACAGGCAUUCGCUGUCAUCUCCAUAUUCGUGUACGGCACGGCGUUCGUCUUGGGCCUCAUUGCGCUGUGCUGCUGCGCCUGCCUCCGCUGGGUCUGCCUGGCGCUCAACGUUGCCGGCAUCGCCACCCUGUGCAUCGUCUGGGCGUCCAUGGUGGUGACCUUCAACAAGUAUGAAGGCCCCGGUUGCCCGGCGAUGAAGGAAAUUACGACUUUGGGUGCCGGCUUGAUUCUCUUGGUGGUGGCCUGGUGCCUGGAUAUCAUCAACAUCGCCCUCUUGCUGCUCCCGUGGCAGGAUAGGGACUCUGAUAAGCUCGGAAAGUAGGCGCAGUAGACAAGGCCCUGAGAGGAGGCUGUGAAGUGAAGUGAAGGAAGCGGCGGGCGAGCCUGACAGCAGCGCGGCACACACACCGUGACGCCCUCGUGGAGGAGCCGGCGGAGCUGAUCGCAGCGAGAGAGAGGGAGCGGAUGCCGCUGACCCUCGCCGGCCCACCUCUCUCGCUGCCUUCUCGUGCGUGCGUGUGCGCUUCCUCUGGGGUCGUUCUCCCCCUCCCUCCAAAUGCCGGUGCCGUGCACGGCGACCUGCGCUGUGUGGUGGGCAACGCGCGCCUGGCGCCGACAAGCCCAUCCAUGCCCCGUCCCCCCUCUAAGCCCCUCGCCCUCGCUGCCGUGUCGGAGUCGCCUCCCUGACGCUCGCCCGGCGCUCCGUUGGCGAUGUGAGGGCGCGAAGGAGGGGCGGGUGGCCGAGGUGGGCACGGAGGGCAAAGACAGCGGCGCGGAGAAACGGACGCCCUCGCACGGAGGACGGGAGGCGCCGCGCCACGCCGCAUCGGUCACCCACCCCCGCCCCUUCCACACCCCGUAGUCGCCAUGGCGCGUCUCUCUGGUGUCUCCGCACCACCCCGCGCCCCUGGCGGCACACCCGCGACGGGAAGAGGCACCACAGCGGCACGAAGACGCAGGCCGAGCACGGUCCCCCCCCCUCCUACACACACGCGCACGCGCACGCGUAUGCUGCCGGUGUUUCCGUUUCUGUUUUCGUGCUUUCGCUUGAUUUGACGCUCGCAUGUUUCCUUCGAUUUCUCUCGUUUUCGUCUCUCUCCCUAUGCAG